GGCGGGGUAGCCAAGUGGUAAGGCCGCGGUCUGCAAAACCGCUACUCACGGGUUCGAUUCCCGUCCCCGCCU
rnacentral:tRNA from 1 species